rnacentral:rRNA from 1 species
CAUGCUAGUCUAACGGUAACAGGAAGCAGCUUGCUGCUUUGCUGACGAGUGGCGGACGGGUGAGUAAUGUCUGGGAAACUGCCUGAUGGAGGGGGAUAACUACUGGAAACGGUAGCUAAUACCGCAUAACGUCGCAAGACCAAAGAGGGGGACCUUCGGGCCUCUUGCCAUCAGAUGUGCCCAGAUGGGAUUAGCUAGUAGGUGGGGUAACGGCUCACCUAGGCGACGAUCCCUAGCUGGUCUGAGAGGAUGACCAGCCACACUGGAACUGAGACACGGUCCAGACUCCUACGGGAGGCAGCAGUGGGGAAUAUUGCACAAUGGGCGCAAGCCUGAUGCAGCCAUGCCGCGUGUAUGAAGAAGGCCUUCGGGUUGUAAAGUACUUUCAGCGGGGAGGAAGGCGAUGCGGUUAAUAACCGCGUCGAUUGACGUUACCCGCAGAAGAAGCACCGGCUAACUCCGUGCCAGCAGCCGCGGUAAUACGGAGGGUGCAAGCGUUAAUCGGAAUUACUGGGCGUAAAGCGCACGCAGGCGGUCUGUCAAGUCGGAUGUGAAAUCCCCGGGCUCAACCUGGGAACUGCAUCCGAAACUGGCAGGCUUGAGUCUCGUAGAGGGGGGUAGAAUUCCAGGUGUAGCGGUGAAAUGCGUAGAGAUCUGGAGGAAUACCGGUG